GGCUGCAACUCGCCUGCAUGAAGUUGGAAUUGCUAGUAAUCGCGAAUCAGAAUGUCGCGGUGAAUACGUUCCCGGGCCUUGUACACACCGCCCGUCACACCAUGAGAGUCGAUAACACCCGAAGCCUGUGAGCUAACCUUUUAGGAGGCAGCAGUCGAAGGUGGGGUUGAUGAUUGGGGUGAAGUCGUAACAAGGUAAC
rnacentral:rRNA from 1 species